GGGAAAACUAUUAGGAGUCUUUUUUUUUUUUUUAAACAAGAAGUUUAUUUAAACAACAAGACACUUGACUUGAAGGGAAAACUAUCUAGGAUUCUUUUUUAAGAGUA